AAGUCGUAACAAGGUUUCCGUAGGUGAACCUGCGGAAGGAUCAUUAACGAAUAUCUAUGGCGUUGGUUGUAGCUGGCUCCUAGGAGCAAUGUGCACGCCCGUCAUUCAUAUCAUCUUUCCACCUGUGAACCAUGUGUAGGCCUGGAUACCCCUCGCUUUGGCAACAAAGCGGAUGCAAGGAUUGCUGCGUCGACAAGGCCGGCUCUCUUUGAAUUUCCAGGUUCUAUGUCUUUUUUACACACCCCAUUUGAAUGACUUAGAAUGUAGUCAAUGGGCUUUCAUGCCUAUAAAAAACUAUACAACUUUCAGCAACGGAUCUCUUGGCUCUC
rnacentral:misc_RNA from 1 species